rnacentral:rRNA from 1 species
AUUGAACGCUGGCGGCAGGCCUAACACAUGCAAGUCGAGCGGAUGAAGGGAGCUUGCUCCUGGAUUCAGCGGCGGACGGGUGAGUAAUGCCUAGGAAUCUGCCUGGUAGUGGGGGAUAACGUCCGGAAACGGGCGCUAAUACCGCAUACGUCCUGAGGGAGAAAGUGGGGGAUCUUCGGACCUCACGCUAUCAGAUGAGCCUAGGUCGGAUUAGCUAGUUGGUGGGGUAAAGGCCUACCAAGGCGACGAUCCGUAACUGGUCUGAGAGGAUGAUCAGUCACACUGGAACUGAGACACGGUCCAGACUCCUACGGGAGGCAGCAGUGGGGAAUAUUGGACAAAGGGCGAAAGCCUGAUCCAGCCAUGCCGCGUGUGUGAAGAAGGUCUUCGGAUUGUAAAGCACUCUAAGUUGGGAGGAAGGGCAGUAAGUUAAUACCUUGCUGUUUUGACGUUACCAACAGAAUAAGCACCGGCUAACUUCGUG